GUUUUAUAGCUUUUCAGAAAACAUGGAAAACGAGGCUGGAGGGCUUCAUAAGAUGCUUGUGGGCCUAUACGUUCGCUUUAAAGGCAUAGCAGCCAGUAUCAGAAUUGGGAUCCAAUCCGGUUUUUCAAACAAGCCAGUAGGAGCUGUGCGGACAAGAGGAAGAAAGUCAUGUGUGUUGAGGGUGUUGCACUGUGCCAGGCAUUUUGUAAUUUGGUGGAAGCAUGCUUUGGGCAUUAUCCCCUUAGAGACCAAGAUUCCUAAAUAGUCAUAGAAGGAGUCAGUUGCAAGAUAAAUACGCAAAGGAACAUAAGGUUAAGCGUGGUGCUGAUCUGGGAAGGCGUAGAGAUUCUUGGUGUAUAAGAAAAUAUACAAAUUCCAAAGGCUGUAACUUUGACAUUAUGAAUGAAAACAACAAAAACAAACCAGGAAACCCAAAAACUAUGUAGGAAAGUAACAUUUGAUGAGGAGAACAAGUUCUGGAAAAGCCCAAUCUUUAGAAGAAAAACUGAGGGGCUGGAGAGAUGGCUCAGCAUUAUGAGCACUGACUGCGCUUAGGUUAGGAGUUCAAAUCCCAACAACCACAUGGUGGCUCACAACCAUCUGUGAUGAGAUCUGAUGCCCUCUUCUGGUGUGUCUGAAGACAGCGACAGUGUACUUACAUAUAAUAAUAAAUACAUCUUUUAAAACAAAACAAAAAAAAACCUGAAGUAAAAUUCAUGGGGUGGUUAGAAAAGUUAGAAGUGGGAUCAAGGAAUCAGUGAGGGAGAGACAUGCUGCCUUAGACAGUGAAGUCAAAUUAAAGCAGGAAAGAUAACCUGAAACCCACAUUAUACCAGCAUACAGGAGCCUGAAGAUUGGAAGUUACAGGCCAGUCUGGACCGAGGUAAGACAGGCCAGCUAAUUAUGAGUAUGAACAUCUGUGACAUUAACUAGAAAAGGUUUCAAACCCUUAGAAACCAGAUUGCAGCAAUGAAGAAAUAUGGAAGCAAGAGAAUAUAAGUCAGACAACCCAAGAGGAAGGUGGAGCUCAGGAGUCCAGGACAGGGAGACAGCAAAGAAGGCAGAGGAGUUUGUUUGGGAAUGGUGGGACCUCUUCCUUAAACGGGGUGAAGGGAGAAAAGUUUCCAAGUGAGGAGUCUGACACAUGCCACCUGUGUGAAAAGGGAGUGGUGAGCAAGGCUACAUUUCAGAGUGUCUGAAGGACACAGAGAAGAGCAGAGAAGGGCAGUGGUGGAGUCGACUGGUCUGUGGGCUGUACAGUUGCCUGUAGUUUAGGUAGCAGAGGGUAAUGGUUAAAUUAACCUAAGCUGAGAUCCUGCAUGCCACAGGUAUGGGAAUAGAAUAAGGACAUGGUGGCAAAGUAUUAAAAGGUCUGUUAUUUAGGUUGGAUAGUGAAGCCAUAAAGGAACUAAUUAGAGUCUAAGCUCUUAAGACUUUCUCCCGAAGACAGCCGGAGGGUACCUCUAGAGCAGUGGCUCUCAACCUUCCUAACGCUGCCACCCUUUAAUACAGUUCCUCAUGUUAUGAUGACCCCAGCCAUGAAACGAUUUUUUGUUGCUCCUUCAUAAUGUAAUGUUGCUGCUGUUGUGAACUGUAAAUGUGUGUUUUCUGAUGGUCUUAGGUAACUCACAGAGAAGCACUGCUCUGAAGGUCUUUAGUGAGGCGUUAGGUCAGCCAGGUGAUACACAUUUGCUGGCACCCUGCCUUUGAGAAACUGGCAAAACCCACUAGGUUUUCAGAAGGACUUGUGAAACUGUCACUCAUCUUUUCUUUCUGUGGUAGUGGUACUGGGAUUGGAUUUAGCAAUGUAUGUGCUAGGCAAGCUCUACCAGACUUUCCUUUGAAAUGUCUUGAUGAGAUGCCUGGACUGGCUUUGAACUCACUAGGUAGCCUUGCCCUUCAAUUCUCUGUCACCAGUAGUGGGAAUUCCAGGCACACACCACACCAGGCUGCCACUAGCUUUCCGUACGGCAAUGAAGAACUAACAAGGGUGGUAAGUCAGGUGCUUAUUUAUUAAAUACAAGUUUUGAGCACCCUCCCCCACCCACCCCCACACACAGGCAAGUCUGACAAAAAGUAACUUUCCUGGAAUGUCUCAAAUACAGUUGUCUAUUGAGUUUGAUUUCAGUUUAACCUUUUUUGCUGUUUUGUUCUUCAUUUUCUGUCUCUAGCAUCAGUCUGGCUUGUCACAGUACCCAGUAGGCUUUGGCUUUGCCCAAUGGCUGCUUAGCAACCAGAACCAAAUAAAGUAAUGAAGCGUUUAGAGUGUGGUACUGAGCAGCAACUGGCACUUUCACCUGCACCGUUCGUUAUGCUACUUCUCAAGUGUCCCUCAAUUUUCACACACCCACGGAAAGCUAUAUUAAACAAACAAACAAACAACUGCCUGAACUCUAAACAAUUUUCCAAGUUUAGUAUUAGCCUCUUGGUGAGGUGUGAGCCGACUGAAGUCUUCACUUUCCUUUAGUACUCCAGCAAAGCCGUCAUGUAAAACUCGGUAGUCAGAAGUCUUAACAGAUUUACAGCCGCUGCAGAGUUCCAGACAAGACACCCUUUGACCUUUGCAAUGCACAUAUGCCUCUUAUUGUACCAGGAUGGAAGUCUUUAGAGUUUCUUUUUCUGGAUGCCUUUAAAUUAGUUCACAGAAAGAAAGAAGGCACAGAGGACACUUGGUUUCCUCACCACAGUGGCCUUAAGCUACACACGUGCUUUUGUGAUUAAAGGAGUUCAGCAGCUUGGGUGGCGUCACGGCCAUUCAUAGGAAAGUAUCAGAAGAGUUUAAAAACAAAACAAAACACAAGCUUGCCAAAACAGGCUUACAAUCUGACGGUUCAGUUCAGAAGCAGAAUACAGACACUGGAGGCAGCACGGAGCCCAUUCACUAGAAAGCUGCUGGCAACAGCUGUCUUCUCAAGGGUUUGUACCCAUCUUCCUCCAUUUUUCACUUGUGAAACUUGGGUCUUCCCUCUUUUUCAAAUAAGAGCGUAAAAGCAUCCUCCCGCAUUCACUCUGGAAAAGUAAGAGCAGCAGGUAGAAGCUUAUUUCAUAUGCAGUCCAUUCCCAGAGAGGGAGAGGAGAAUGCUGCAUACAGGAAAUGAAGUUCAUUUAAA